GCUUAUGCGGAUGAUAUAGUAUUACUAGCGGAAAGUGAAGAGGAAAUGGAGGUAAUGAUUAGGAAGUUAGAAAGGUAUAUGGAUAGGAAAGGCUGACGGUAAAUGUAGGGAAAUCAAAGAUUAUGAGAUUUAGGAAAGGAGGCGGUAGAAGGAAAAACAUAGAUUGGAGAUGGAAAGGGAAAAGGAUAGAGGAGGUGAAAGAGUUCAGCUAUCUAGGGUAUAGAGUAAAGUGCAAUGGGGGACAGGAAUCACAGGUGAAAGAGAGAGUACGGAAGGCAGGGGUAGUAAUGAGGCAGCGGAAGAGAGGCGUGUCGGGAAAGAGUG
rnacentral:lncRNA from 1 species